rnacentral:lncRNA from 1 species
CUUGUAGAUCAUGCGGCCAUUAGUAAUGAACAUGAAGACCUUGCGGUCACCUUUUAGCGUCCGCUACUUGCAUCUUACUUGAUAAAAAAAUUGAAUUCAUAGGCUAGCAAUUUGAUGGACUUCAUUAAUACCAUACAUAUUGCAAAAGCAAAAGUAGAAUGGUAACAAUAUAUACAUCAAUUUCUAUAAGUUUACACAAGUUUCAGAAGGUAUUAUAACACACUGACUUUUUAAUCAAAUUCGGGACCUGCACGAGAAAUUAAGAGCACUGACACGAAACACGGAAAAUAAAUAAGGGGAAACACGAAGCACGUAAAUCGAGCCAAACACGAGAAACCGAGAAAUAAAACGUUAAAACACGAAAAUACGUGAAAUAAAAAGGCCGAAAACGUUGCACGAAAAUAACCCUUUACCACCCUC